rnacentral:rRNA from 1 species
UGGGGAAUAUUGGACAAUGGGCGAAAGCCCGAUCCAGCCAUGCCGCGUGUGUGAAGAAGGUCUUCGGAUUGUAAAGCACUUUAAGUUGGGAGGAAGGGCAGUAAGCGAAUACCUUGCUGUUUUGACGUUACCGACAGAAUAAGCACCGGCUAACUCUGUGCCAGCAGCCGCGGUAAUACAGAGGGUGCAAGCGUUAAUCGGAAUUACUGGGCGUAAAGCGCGCGUAGGUGGUUCGUUAAGUUGAAUGUGAAAGCCCCGGGCUCAACCUGGGAACUGCAUCCAAAACUGGCGAGCUAGAGUAGGGCAGAGGGGGGUGGAAUUUCCUGUGUAGCGGUGAAAUGCGUAGAUAUAGGAAGGAACACCAGUGGCGAAGGCGACCACCUGGGCUCAUACUGACACUGAGGUGCGAAAGCGUGGGGAGCAAACAGG